rnacentral:lncRNA from 1 species
GCUGCUUCUGAACGGCAUAGGGUGCAUCGUCGGUUGUUCCGCUGAUGGUUGCGGCAACUGAGCUGGUUGUUGCUGGAGGUUUUUGACCGCAUCCAUCAGAACGGUCAUUUGCCAUACGAUCGUCGCGAUCUGCACCUCCGUGGUCACCACCGGGUGCGGAGAGCUGGGUUCCACCAUGGAGGGCAAAGGAGGGGCCUCUCUCUGACGGAAAGAGUGCCUCGUCGAUCUGGUAGCUCUCGAUCGCUGAACCCUGAUUUUCGUCAUCUCGAGAGAUUUUUCAAGCUCUAUGGAGCUC